CCAUGCUGCACGCCGAGCUCAUCGAUCGAUCGAGGCUCUGCUUGACUUCCAUGCUCUCCGCCGCCCACCCGGCUCACCCAGCCAGCUACUGCUGGGUACCCAACCGAGCCUUCGGUACUCGAAGUUUACUUCCGAGCGCCUCCCUGACAUGGGAUCUGGAACAGGUCGGGCUGAGUGGCGAUUAAGUGCUCGCCGCUGCUGAGCGACCCGGGUCCAAGCAAGGAAAAGGAGGGAAGAAGAUAGGGUCCUGGUGUCUGUCAGACCUGGAGAAGAAGAUAAGGGACUGAGAGGUCCACAGGGCUGGAUUGCACGCUCCGCUCCUUGGACCGCAAUACCUGGAUCAAGAGACAGAGCCAGUACGCCCUCUGGUGGGUCCUCAGCGAUUCCGCAAAGGCGCGGAGAUGGGAGCCCCGGGGGAGCCCAGCGCUCUAGUUACGCUGGAGGCCCGGAAGAUAAGGAAGGGUGGCAGCUGGUCCAGCUGAGGGUGGGGCUGGGGAGUGUGGAUCGUCGCGGGGGACCCCAGCAGGCACCGAGCGUCGAAUCCUCUCCCACAGCAGGAUAUUUUG